rnacentral:lncRNA from 1 species
CUCCGGAGCGGCUGUUCUGAGUACCUCCCUCCGAUUGACAUUUCCAUGCGAUUCGCUCGCACUUGUCUCUCGAUAAUGCGAAGCUAAUUGCGAAAGAGAACCGACCGAGUUGAAAACUGAAAAUUAGAGCACAAACACAGCCAGAGUGAAAGCUAUUAAUUUUUACCACUGGGAAUUUCCCAGAGAUAAGUUUAUGGUAAGUGACGAUAACAGAACCGCGACAGUUUUCGAAACCACUUCAACCUUUCUUUUAUAAACUUUAUCUUCCAUUGUUUGUUUCUUUCUCUGUUCCCCAUUAUUCUUUUUGGGUUUUCCCAAUCUUUCUCUCUUUCUCUUAUAUCGAUAAAUAAUACAAAUAUUGUUGGCCGCAUACACAUGCAUACGUACGUACGUACGUUAUAAAUAUGCAAGGCUUUUCUCAAGUUUAAAAUGCAACAUUGUAUUUCUUUUUUUGUUAUUGUUAUCUCCAUUCCACACUCAAUACAUACAGAAAUUGGAUAUGUGUGUGCGUCGAAACAACCGUAUUUGUGAUAAUAUUCCAUGUGUUUACAGUUUGACAACACGUGCUUAUUAAGAGAUGUUUACUUCAGUGUGUGUGUGUUUAACCGUCUCUGCGGCUGAUUACAUUUUCAUCUGACAUUAUUCUCUCCCUACAUUCAUAUCUGCAUCCAUCAGCUUUUUUUUUCUAUCUUGGAACCUUCUAGAAAUAGCACUCAGUUCUUCAACCAUUUUAGCAUUCACAGAUUACUCUGUCAAAUGUACGAAAUCGAAAUUGAAUUCGAUGACUGGCAUCCGUUGCUAGAGGAGCACUAAGAGUACCACACGAGUGUGAUCGUUGCCAGAGCAACAAGCUAGCCUCCGUGCCGAUGGCACGUAAAAAGCACCAUUCGAGCAUGAUCGUUACCAGAGUCGCCUUACUGGCACUUGUGCCGGUGGCUCGUGAAAAAAACAUUCGAGCGAGGUCGUUGCCAGUGCCGCUGAAUUGGCUCCUGUACAGGUAGCACAUAAAAAGCACCAUUUGAGCGUGGCCGUUACCAGUACCACCUAACUGGCCCUCGUGCCGGUGGCACGUAAAAGCACCCACUACACUCUCAGAGUGGUUGGCGUUAGGAAGGGCAUCCGGCUGUAGAAACACUGCCAGAUCAGACUGGGCCUGGUGCAGCCUUCUGGCUUCCCAGACCCAGGUCGAACCGUCCAACCCAUACUAGCAUAGAAAACAGACGUUAAACGAUGAUGAUGAUCACACACACACACACACACACACACAUAUAUAUAUAGAUAUAUAUAUAUAUAUAUACACACAGCCUAUACCAUAAUCUACCAUGUGCACGAGUUUCAUUGACAUUGAGAUCGCAGAACUCCAAAACAUUGGGGGUAGUUUAAUACUUUUGGCCAAGGCUGUAUAUUUGAAUCAUUCCAUUUUUUUUUUUUUUUGCAGCAAUGCAAGAAUUAACUAAGAAAGAGGAAGAGGAGCAACAACAGACCGACAGAGCAUUCCUCCGAGAACGGUUCCUUCGUUUCCUGCUGGCAUUAGAUGGCAACCAUGCAGAUUUAAUCAUGCAAGAAAACAACAUAGUCUCCGGUAAACUAUUAUUAGCCGACCUUAACUUUGAGAACCUGAUGGUGCGAGAUCUCCAAACACCAAUAGGAAAGCUGCCUCAUGCACUUCUACGGACAAAUGACAUUCUUUCGUUCAAAUUAAAUAUGGAAGAGACUUAGGUUGCUUCCGCAAAAAUUUCUCUUGAUUUUUUUUUUUUUUAUAUUUCAAUAAAAUUUUCUUUUCCACA